rnacentral:lncRNA from 1 species
GAGGCCAAACUUUGAGAAAAACUAGCCUUCUCCCCCAGUUUUUCUGCCACUUCCUCUACCAUCGCGACCUCAGCUUCUACAGCCACCAACCACCUCGUCGCAGCUUCUCCACCGACAACUCCACCAUAAGCCACCAGCAUGACCACUAGCCGGCCACCUCCACCAAAUAAUUAGUGGCCUAGAACCUUCCCCUUGAAGAAAGAGUGGGAGAACAAGGUCACGAUCCCCAAAUAAUUAUUUUCAUAUCUUUUUAUGUCUUUUUUCUUAAAUUUUCCUUUCCCAAAUAAUUAGUGGUAAGAUUGUAAAUUAUAAUAGAAUAAAAGGUAUGUAUUUUCUAGUUAAAUACUCUUAAGAACUUCAAAUAUAUAGGAUGAAAAAUAAACAUUAAUUAUUAUUUUCUACUUUUUGAUGAAUUAUGUAUUUUGUUUUUUACAAUGAUUUGGUUUUGCGAUUGUUUUCUUUUUCUAUAAAACAAACUUUUUUUUAAAAAUAAAUUAUAGUAAUGUAUUUUAUAAUCUUGCAAUAAACAAUAUAUAUAUAUAUAUAUAUAUAUAUGAGAAACUAUUUUCUUAAAGAAACUUUUUCCUUAAAGUUAAGUGGCGACUUCUUUUAAUUCUAUCAUGAGAAGUUAUUUCUUAGUAGUCCUUUUACCUAAAAACUUCACAUACUUAUAAGUUUGUUUAUACUUUUGAAGAUGAAAGGGGUGUUUGGCCUCGUAGUUGAAUCAAAUUUUUGAAACAUUUUGAUAUUUUUUGCUUUAAAUUAAUUUUUUUAUAUAAUUUUAAUGUGCUGAUAUCAAAAUAAAUUUUAAAAAAUAAAAAAAAUUAUUUUGAUGCAUUUUCAAAUGAAAUAUCAAAUGAUUAGAUGUAUACUUAAUGAGGUGAGAGUAAAUAAAAUACGCCAAUGGUUAUUUUUAUUUUUUGUUUUACAAGAUUUGCAAGUCGGCAGAGUUAAUAAAUUUCUAAAAAGCUAAAAACUCACCAAGAUAGAGAUUUAUUGGUGACUUGGCUCAUUUUUCUUCCUUGAAGUAAUGUCCAAGUAAAUAAAAUAAGCACCAAUGAAGAGUGGAGUAGCCUUCAAGCUUUCUAAAUUUGUUCAUCAAGGUAGUUACUUCGUUGCUCACCAAGUGUUUUUGCCAUUAUAAAUAAGUGGGAAGACGAGUAGUUUUAGGGUGUAAAAAAUAUAAAAAUCGAGAGUUCUUUUUAGUAUAAAAGUGGAUGUAUAAGGGAUUUUGGGAAUAAAUAUUAGACAUAAAGAUCAUAAUUAUAUUCUUGUACUAAUUUAUCUGAGAGAAAAGAAGGAUUACAUUUGGGUUGUAGAUAUAGAUAUAGUUUUGCCGAAUUACGUUAAAAUCUUGUGUGUCAACUCUUUAUUCAUAUUCGUUAAUUUUCUUUCCAUUAAAUUGGAUUGUUCAUGGUAGUGUGUAUUGAAUCUUAGUUUCAUAUUCCCUAACAAUCAUCUUUGUUAUUUCAUGAUUGAUAAAGAGACAAGAAUUUUGCAUUCUUAGGUUUCAGGAUAGUGUGAGGAGAAAGUUCCUACUGAGAGAUAUGAUUGAUUGAGAUCUCUUUAUGAAGUUAAGAGGUAAAGUUGACUAGUGAUAAUUUUACACAAGCAUUGGCCAUAUUUUUUCAAGAUUAUUUACUAAUUCAAGUAAUCUAAAUCUUUCAAAUAAAUAUAAUGAGGACUAAGGAAGUAGGUGAAGUUACAAGGCUAAAACUUCACCACGGUGGAGAUUUAUUGGUGAUGUAGAUCUUUCUUUCCUCGGAGUAAUGGCCAAAUAAAUAGAAUGAGGACUAAGUAAGAGUGGAGUAGCCUCCGAGCUUUGUAGAUUUGUUCACCAAGAUUGUUCCUUCUUUGCUCACCAAGUGUUUUUGCUAUUAUAAAUGGAUGGUUUUAGGAUAUAAAAAACCUCAAGGGAUAAGAUGUUUUAUUUGAGUGUUAUGGUUGGUGUACAAGGGAAUUUGGGAUUGAAUUUUGAAUAUUAAAAUCACUAUCAUAUUCAUGUACUAAUUUCUCUCGUUGAAAGGAAUAAUUACUCUCGUGUUGUGGAUAUAGAUAAAAUAUUGUUAAACUAUGUUAAAUCUUGUCAUCUCUUUAUUAAUCUUUGUUAUUUUUUUUUAGUGAAUUGGAUUGUUCGUGAUAGUGCGUGUUGAAUCUUAGUCCUAAAUUCCCUAACAUAAUAUCAUAAAAUAAAUUCCUUAAAUAAAACCAUAGCAAUCAUAAAAUAAAGCCUAAAAUUUCAAUAUAUAAAUUAAAUUGAAAAAUAUAAUUACAAAAUACUAAGUGUGUUUGAGAAUGACAAUAAAUUUGUAUUUUAAGGUUUGUAAAUAUAUAGAAAUCCCUUUUACAAAUGAAAAUAUUGGAUAAGAUGAUGAGGUGGAUGAACCUCUUAUCGCCUUCAUAAAACUAUAGUUGUAAGAUGAGAAAGGGCCUAGCAGGUUAAUUUGCUGACCUACAAACUUAAGACAUGAACUAGACAUAGUUUACUAUAAAACUAUCCAUGAAGUUGACCUUAUCAAACUUAAAAGACCUAUUAGGUUAACCCGUGAUCCAGGUGACCUGAUCAAAACUUAUGUGAGAUUCAAUUAAUUUUUUUUAAAUGAUAUUGUUUUUUGUUUUUUUAUAUAUAUCUAAAAUGAUGCUAUUUUAAAUUGAAAAAAAAUUAAAAACAAUUGAUUUGUUCAAUCAUGAUUCAAGCUGGAUUUUAAAACUAAGAGUAACAUUAAUUUAUGAUUAUUCUUUGGUUUGCCAAACAAAUCAAAUAAAAACCCAACUUGUACUGAUUAUCUUUUCCUUUUAAAUUCAAGAUUAGCAAUUUUCAUGAAUAUGUCAUGCUAUUGUGAGCGUAUAGUAUUAUUAUUAUUAUUAUUAAUGCUGUGGUUUUUUCUUCUAAUUUCUCAAAAAGUUUAAUUCGAAAAUGUUAUCCAACAAAAUCUGCAGCAAGUGGUAGUUUGACCUCCGAUCAUCCGACAAUCUAUUAUAGCCAUGUGUUGCAUGACAAUCAUUUAGCAGUGGUUCUAGUGGGCUUAGAAGCACAUGUCAUGUUUGCUAUGUUAGAAUUGAUUGUGAAUGGUCAUCAACAGAGUCAACCAUUUUAAAGGUACAUAAAUCUAUUUAUUUAUAACUUGUUAUGUGCAUCUGUGCAUAAUAAUCAAAUUUAGAAAAAAACUUCAAUAAUACAUUUCUACAAAUGCAGGAAUUUUAUUUUAUUUUAGCAUAGAAGGAGUUUGAGAAUUUAAUAACGUUUGUUUUUCAAAUUAUUUUUUACUAAAAAAUACAUCAUAAUAAUAUAUUUUUUAAUUUUUUAAUAUUAGUAUAUCAAAACAAUUCAAAAACAUUAAAAAAUAAUUUUAAACAAAAAAAUACAAAUUUUACACAAACUCUAUUGGAACGCAAUACCAAACGAAACGAAGUAAUAGUUGCAGUUAUUUUCUUUUUUCCCUUUACAUUUAUUUUUACAUUUUUUUUCUCGAAACAACAGAAAAAUGAAUUUACAAAUUUUUAAAACUUGUAUUGUGACAACAAAUAUUAGCACACCUAGUAAAAUUGGAGGGAAAUUAAAAUGGAUUGUUUUUUAUACAAUAACGACAAGCAUUCAACUAAAAUGGGCAUGCAAGGAAUGAAUAUAACAAGAAGGAAUCUUCUAUUUUUAAGAUCAAGACUGCGUUUUACAUGUUAUCAACUUCAAUUGGGUAUAGUUUUGAUCCAAUGAUGGAACUUUUCUUUUGUUAUUUAGUAGGGGCCAAAGGGCUAUAGAACUUAAUGGGAAGGAAUGCUGACAUACACAAAUCUUAGGGAAAUGUCUGUGUGCUGACCAUUUCUAGCAAGCAGUUCAUUGUAAACUAUGCUCUUGUUAGCUUAAAAAGAGAGCAAUUAAUUAUAUGCUUCGUUGUGCAAUCCAUUACCAUUGUAAGAGCUAAUCUCCCAAUUUUUUCCCCACUUGAUCUUUCUCAGAAGUUGUUCUGAUAGCUGUUCUGAUGUUGCUUACUACACAUUCUUGUGUCAAUCUUUGACAUCAAGAAGCUGGAGCUUGAGGUCAUAAGGG